rnacentral:tRNA from 1 species
GCCUGGGUGGCUCAGUGGUUGAGCACCUGCCUUGGACUCAGGUCAUGAUCCCAGGUUGUGGGAUCAAAUCCCACAUUGGGCU